CUACGGGUGGCUCCAGUGGGGAAUUUUGGACAAUGGAGGAAACUCUGAUCCAGGGAUACCGCGUGGGUGAUGAAGAUUUACGGAUUGUAAAGCCCUUUUAGUAGGGAAAAUAAUGAUGGUACCUACAGAAAAAGCAUCAGCUAACUCUGUGCCAGCAGCUGCGGUAAUACAGAGGAUGCGAGUGUUAUUCGGAAUCACUGGGCGUAAAGGGCGCGUAGGCGGUUAUUUAAGUCCGCAAUGAAAUACCGGGGCUCAACUUCGGUGCUGUUGUGGAUACUGUUUAACUAGAGAACGGAAGAGGUGAAUAGAAUUCCUGGUGGAGAGGUGAAAUUCUUAGAUAUCAGGAGGAAUGCCAGAGGCGAAAGCGGUUCACUGGGACGUUUCUGACGCUGAGGCGCGAAAGCGUGGGGAUCAAACAGGAUUAGAUACCCCAGUAGUC
rnacentral:rRNA from 1 species